GGAAAAGGCACCUAAAGAUGCCACUGACCUGUUACUUGUGCCUCAAGUGCUUACCACACUCAGACCCAUUGGCUGUCUGAGCAUCCUGCACUCUGGACAGCAUGUCAAGACAGACCGGGAACAAAACCAGGCUCUCCCACACACCAACACUACCAGUUCGCACUACAGCCCUCGUGCAAAGCACGAGACUCCAGGCUGGUCACUUCAAGCCCAGAGUGGAAACGGGCAAGAAAGGAAGGUCUUUUGAGCCAUGGUGCAGGCACCUCCAAUACCUCUGGGAUGAAGCUCAUCAUGGGCAUUGACAAAGCUGGGAGAUGAU